CGUAGGGUGCGAGCGUUAAUCGGAAUUACUGGGCGUAAAGCGUGCGCAGGCGGUUUUGUAAGACAGGCGUGAAAUCCCCGGGCCCAACCUGGGAACUGCGCUUGUGACUGCAAGGCUAGAGUACGGCAGAGGGGGGUGGAAUUCCACGUGUAGCAGUGAAAUGCGUAGAGAUGUGGAGGAACACCAAUGGCGAAGGCAGCCCCCUGGGUCGAUACUGACGCUCAUGCACGAAAGCGUGGGUAGCAAACAGGAUUAGAUACCCUGGUAGUCCACGCCCUAAACGAUGUCAACUAGGUGUUGGGUGGGUAAAACCAUUUAGUACCGGAGCUAACGCGUGAAGUUGACCGCCUGGGGAGUACGGCCGCAAGGUUA
rnacentral:rRNA from 1 species